rnacentral:misc_RNA from 1 species
GUGAUGGAGUAUAGAUAUCUGGCUAUAUCCUUAUGGCCUUUGUUACAUGCCACUGUGACUGGCAAAAAUUGCUGACUUGGAAUCUCAGCCAACUUACUGUUCUUUUCUAUCAUGCAUUCUACAAUUCUUGUGGCUCCAACAAAAGCAGCGAUUGCAAGAGCUGUAUUAUCAUUGAUGUCAGGUACUCGUAAGUCUUCUUCAGUCGCCAACUCCAUCAACAACUCCACUAUCUCCGAUUUUCCACUUGCACUUGCAAGAUGAAGUGCUGUCCCACCAAAAUGUGAAAUCUUUGUGUGUACUGCAUCUGGAUGAAGGCGAAGGAAGUCUCUCACAGCAUUUAAAUCAUCUUUCUCUAUAGCCUUGCAUAGAGGACGAAAUUGAACA